rnacentral:sRNA from 1 species
AUCGCUUCUCGGCCUUUUGGCUAAGAUCAAGUGUACUAUGAAUUAGCACAAAUAUGGUUUAUAGGCUACAUGUGUGUUUUGUUUUUCCUGAUGAUUGUUAACUAGGGACACCUGUAUGACAGAGCCAAA